rfam:TPA: Bos taurus chromosome 4, whole genome shotgun sequence.
UAAAAGGUCCUUUUCAGGCCCACACACUCUUUGAGACCAGGGUUGU